GACGAACGCUGGCGGCGUGCUUAACACAUGCAAGUCGAACGGAUAGGCCCUGCUUUUGUGGGGUGCUCGAGUGGCGACCGGGUGAGUAACACGUGAGUAACCUGCCCUUGACUUUGGGAUAACUUCAGGAAACUGGGGCUAAUACCGGAUAGGAGCUCCUGCUGCAUGGUGGUGGUUGGAAAGUUUCGGCGGUUGGGGAGGGACUCGCGGCUUACCAGUUUGUUGGUGGGGUAGCGGCUUACCAAGGCUUUGACGGGUAGCCGCCCUGCGAGGGUGACCGGCCACAUUGGAACUGAGAUACGGCCCAGACUCCUACGGGAGGCAGCAGUGAGGAAUAUUGCACAAUGGGCGGAAGCCUGAUGCAGCAACGCCGCGUGCGGGAUGACGGCCUUCGGGUUGUAAACCGCUUUCGCCUGUAACGAAGCGUGAGUGGCGGUAAUGGGUAGAGAAGCACCGGCUAACUACGUG
rnacentral:rRNA from 1 species